CCUACGGGGGACAGCAGUAGGGAAUCUUUCACAAUGGGCGAAAGCCUGAUGGAGCAACGCCGCGUGCAGGAUGAAGGCCUUCGGGUUGUAAACUGCUUUUAUAAGCGAGAAAUAUGAUGGUAACUUAUGAAUAAGGAUCGGCUAACUACGUGCCAGCAGCCGCGGUCAUACGUAGGAUCCGAGCAUUAUCCGGAGUGACUGGGUGUAAAGAGUUGCGUAGGUGGCAUAAUAAGUAGCUAGUGAAAUCUGGUGGCUCAACCAUUCAGACUAUUAGCUAAACUGUUAAGCUCGAGACCGUGAGGGGUAACUGGAAUUUCUAGUGUAGGAGUGAAAUCCGUAGAUAUUAGAAGGAACACCAAUAGCGUAGGCAGGUUGCUGGGACGGUUCUGACACUAAGGCACGAAAGCGUAGGGAGCAAACGGGAUUAGAUACCCUUGUAGUC
rnacentral:rRNA from 1 species